CUCUCUCUCUCUCUCUCUCUCUCUUUCUCUCUCACACACACACACACACACACACACUUGAAGACUGCAUUUUUACACAAUCACGAGUAGGAUAACCGGUCUGACUUUGACAUUCGUGCUCUUUUUCCAACUGAGGAGUUAAGGCGUUGAACUUAAAAUGAUGUGGCUAUACUUUUUUUUUUUUUUAACAAAAAAAUGUGCUACAAGCAGUCUGGAGAUGACUUGAAACUCUCCCCCUUUCCUUUACUAAAUGCAUUUACAUGUCUGUUAAUUAUCCGAACCUAGAUUGCCAGUCCUUUUGCAUAAAGGUCCUUUGAACUAACUCCUGUGCAUGCACAUAAUUAACUGUGGCAUUGCUUUCGUGUGCUUAACGAUCAAGUUUAGGAUAUUCCACAAUUUAUGUUGAGAAAGAACUUAUUUUUAAUAGUAGUUUCUCAUUGCUGAUGUCUACAAGUAUCUAAGGUCUGGAUUUACUUCUUGAUCAGCCAUAGAAGUAAGAUUGCACAGUAUUGUUUUGAGUGUAAUUGUUCACCGAGAACCCAUCUUUGCAUCAUAUGGAUACAUAGUAUGUUUGCUCAUUAUAUGCAUUUCAUCCUCGAGUAUUAUCUUAUACUUUGUCACAUAUGCAACUAAAGGAAAGGUAUGGGCAUGUUGCAAUGCUUUUUGUUUGCUAUGCUAAUAAAUUGUUGUUUCUUCUCUCUAAUUCAGCGUUUCACUGUCACCAUCCGCGUUUCUAUUUUUCCAUGUAGAGAUCCAUUCGAGGAAAAGAGUGUCGAGAAUUUCCUUGAGGAACAGGGAGUGGAGGAAAGCAAGAAGAUCAAGAUCUUAAAGAUAGUAAGGGGAAUGGGUUUCAAAAAUGAGAUUAAGGGGCUUGCAGAAACUGAAGUAUUUCCAGAAUUUGGGGUCGUGCAGGAUGCUGAUCGUCUUGAUGCCAUUGGGGCCAUAGGAAUAGCUCGUUGCUUCGCUUUUGGGGGAAGCAGAAACAGAGUUCUCCACGAUCCUGCCAUCCAGCCACGAUUUGUUCUUUCCCAGGAAAACUACAUGAAAAAGAGGAGCAGACUACCUUGAAUCAUUUUUAUGAGAAACUUCUGAAGCUGAAAGAUUUUAUGAAAACAAAGGCUGGACAAAGGAGAGCCGAGAAGGGGCACAAGUUCAUGCUCGAGUAUCUGGAAGAGUUCUACAAAGAGUGGGAUGGGCAAGCCUAGAUUGGGUGAUACUGAAGAGGUACUAUCACCAUCACCAUUUCCAAUGGUUUAGCCCUUACGGAUUACAAUACUGAAAUUUAUCUGAAGUAGAGAUCCAUGGUUGAAUCCAGUUUUAGCAAGUCAGUUGCUAAUGCAUUGUAAUCAUAAACAUUUAUCACCUACUAGCUUAUUUAAUUCUCUUACUAGUA